rnacentral:rRNA from 1 species
UUUUUACAAAAACAUCGCUCUUUGUAUAUUAUAAAUAAAGAGUCGUGCCUGCCCAGUGAAUAUUUUAACGGCCGCAGUACCCUGACUGUGCAAAGGUAGCAUAAUCAUUUGCCUUUUAAUUGAAGGCUGGAAUGAAUGGCUUGACGGAAUUCUGCUGUCUUUUUUUUAUUGACUAGAAUUUAAUUUUUAGGUGCAGAAGCCUAAAUAAGAUUAAAAGACGAAAAGACCCUGUCGAACUUAAGAAUAAAGUUAAAAUUUUGUUAAAAUUUUUAGAAUAAGAUUUUUUUAAUUUGUUCUUUUGUUGGGGCGACAAAAGAACAGAAAAAGCUUCUUUAGUUUAUUUUAACCUAUUAGUUGAUAUGAUCCAUAUAUUUAUGAAAUAAGAAUAAGUUACCGCAGGGAUAACAGCGUUAUUUUUCUGGAGAGUUCAAAUUGAAGGAAAAGAUUGCGACCUCGAUGUUGGAUUAGAAUAUCGGGCAGGUGGAGCAGCUUGCUUAGAAGGCCUGUUCGUCCUUUAAAUUUCUACAUGAUCUGAGU